UACGGAGGAUCCAAGCGUUAUCCGGAAUUACUGGGCGUAAAGAGUUGCGUAGGUGGCAUGGUAAGUUGGUAGUGAAAGCGUUCGGCUCAACCGGAUAUACAUUACCAAAACUGCUAAGCUAGAGGAUGAGAGAGGUUAUUGGAAUUCCCUGUGUAGGAGUGAAAUCCGUAGAUAUAGGGAGGAACACCGAUGGCGUAGGCAGAUAACUGGCUCAUUCCUGACACUAAGGCACGAAAGCGUGGGGAGCAAACGGGG
rnacentral:rRNA from 1 species